rnacentral:rRNA from 1 species
CAGCAGCCGCGGGAAUACGUAGGUGGCAAGCGUUGUCCGGAAUUAUUGGGCGUAAAGGGCUCGCAGGCGGUUUCUUAAGUCUGAUGUGAAAGCCCCCGGCUCAACCGGGGAGGGUCAUUGGAAACUGGGAAACUUGAGUGCAGAAGAGGAGAGUGGAAUUCCACGUGUAGCGGUGAAAUGCGUAGGGAUGUGGAGGAACACCAGUGGCGAAGGCGACUCUCUGGUCUGUAACUGACGCUGAGGAGCGAAAGCGUGGGGAGCGAACAGGAUUAGAUACCCGCGUAGUCCCUGUCUCUUAUAC